AUGACAAUAACAUCCAUUGUUGUGAUCACUACAUCACCUUCACCAUGUGAUACGUCGCCAUCGAGAGUGCCUACAUCAUCAGAUUUGACUGUAAGAGGUAAUGAUAAAGGUACCGAUGUUCCCCCUCCACAUGAGUAUGAUGAAUGUCUUGUCAAUUUAAAUGCACCAUGUUAUGAGAUACCCACUACUUUGAUCACAACACCUAUUUUAGAGGACUAUGUUGAUGAUUUGACUUUAUCAUGUGAUCAAACGACUGCAAUAACAACAAUUUUGAGUGCACCCAUUAAAUUAACUGUCGAUGAGAAAGAACCAUGUGAAUUAGUGAACAAAUCAAAUUUGGAUCAAAUACGUUUGGUUAUACAUGAAGACGUGUUAUCUAGAACCUUGCAUGCUAAUUCUGUGUAUUCUAUGAUGUUGAAUCUACCCAUGUCUUUGUCACAUGCGAGGAAUAGAAUAUCUGAAAUCACAUGUUCGAAAUCGCUUCAAAGUGUUUACGUCACUAAUUUUACGUUUAACUUGCUUGGAGAGUAUGGCGUAGACAAGGAAUUUUUUGUGCAUAGGAUUUGCAUCAUGAGUGAUGAUCAUGCUAGCGUAAAAGAAAGUUAA
rnacentral:rRNA from 1 species